rnacentral:sRNA from 1 species
GCCGGGUGUGGUGAUGCAUGCCUAUAAUCUCAGCAGCUUGGGAGGCUGAGGCAGGAGGAUCGUGGGUUCAAAACUAGCCUCAAUAAAAGCAAUGUGCUAAGCAACUCAGUGAGACCCUGUCUCUA